CUCACACUGACAGGAGAAAAUGAAACAUCUUUUUUUAAAGUGUCUUCUGUUCUACAUGAACAUACACACAACUCAGAGCGGUGAGUAGCAGGAUUUUAUACUCUAAAGACUUCAUAUGCAGUGUGAAUGAGAGACAUGACCUUGUUCAUUUGUUUUAAUAUUUUAGUUUCACCUAUUUGGUGUACAUACAGAAGCUUAUAUUGUAAGACUGCAUUAUUAGUCUGGAUUUCAUUCUAAAGUAGGGAUUAUAACAAAUACAAAGCCAGAAAGAAGUAAAUGAAAUGGAUUUACAAAACAUUAUCUUUGUUCAUUUGUGUUUGUUUUGUCAGAAAUAUUAAAUCGCAGUGUCACUGUGGGAGAGGACAUCACUAUUGUGUGUAAACAUGAAGGGAAAGUGAUAUGGAGUAAAGACAGAGAUGAAACAAGCGUGCACAUUCUCACUGCAGAAACAGAUGGAGAGAUACGAAAACUAGUUUCAGAUCCUCAUAACCGUUAUAGUUUAUUGGGUGAUUUAUCACUACACAUAAAGAAUGUUUCAGUCUCAGACUCUGGAAUUUAUUACUGUAAUGCAGCUCCAACUGUGAAUCUGAUAGUAACAGAACCAGAUCCCAACCACAGUGAACCAGAAGGCACAACACCAACACAAAACCCAUCUGCUAUGAAUACUUUAAGAUCUUUGGAUCAAACUACAGGUUUUAGCCACAGUCAACCAGAAAGCACAACACCAACACAAGACUCAUCUGCUACGAAUA